CAAUCUGUUACAACCAGUAGAUCAGCAGCUGCAGCAGGUCUUCUUUAAUUGUUGGUCAACUCAAGUCAUGUGACAUGAGUUGACGGAGAAAUGAAAUAAAGAGAAAAGACAACAGAGUUAAAAAAA